rnacentral:rRNA from 1 species
AUGAAGAUUGUGGCAGCUGACGAGCCAAGGACGAGCAGGAGGUACGCACUGCUGCUGGCGGCCCGGGACUCGGAGUACGUGCUCAAGGUGUACGGCGGCUACUUCAAUGUCUUCGUGAGUGCGUUUGGCUCUGGCGACGACGGCGAUGGCAACGGCGACGUCUGCGAGACGUGGGACAUGUUCCGGGCGAUGUUCUGCGUCGGCGACCACGUGCUGGGAAUCCAGGGCCACCCGGAGUACACCGGCGACAUACUCCUCAGCCUCGUCGACCGCCUCUCCACCAGCCAAUCCAUCACCGUGUCGUUCGCUAAGGACGUGAAGAGGCAGCUGGAGGCUACUAGCGCUGACAGGGAGUUCUGGCUCAACCUCUGCAAAAGUUUCCUGAAGGCUGAAGAAUUGUACUAG